CGUCAUUUGUACCCUCAAGCUCUGCUUGGUGUUGGGUGUUUGUCCCACUUUGCGUGUGGACUUGCCCUAAAGAAAUUGGCAGCCGGCAUAUUAGUUUGGAGCGCAGCACAAUUUGCGCUUUUAGCUAUACUUGUUGGCGUCCAACAGCCUAUACACUUGCUCUUGACCUCGGAUCAGGUAGGGAUACCCGCUGAACUUAA
rnacentral:misc_RNA from 1 species